rnacentral:misc_RNA from 1 species
GAAAGCGCUACUAGCAAAAGUUCCCGCGAAGGAUAUAUCGAAUUUAGCUUUGCUAUCGGUCACCAUUCCUAUCCGCAGAGAAGCAAGUAAAAUGAGAAAAACAGAGGGGCCGAUUAGACAAAAGACAGAAAGGAGAAAGGAAAGUGAGAUUGGUGCAAAUCGAAUCUCCGGAAGAGUGAGGAGUGUACAGGCCCGCAGGCUGUGCAACUGGGUCCUUUUCCUGUCCUGCGUUUUGCGGUUGUUUUUUGCUUCUGCUGUUCUUCGUCAUCGACCAUUUAUUCUUGUUUGCUCCACUGGCCGCGACUCGUAGCCGUAGGCCGCAGCACCAUUU